CCAUGUCGUGAAAACCAGAGAGUUGUGGAAUUAGAAAGACUAAAAAGAAUGGUGGUUUUGGAGAAAAUGUCACUCAUGGAGACAAGACCAACAUGGAAUUAAUGGCUGUCGUUGUGAAGGAUGCUUUGUAGAAAGGAACUCCAAAUUCUCCAUCUUCAAAUCCUAUGGGUAGAGGUUUACAUAUCAACGACAUAACUUAUAUGAUGCCAUCAAUUAUGUUGGAAGGUGGGCAUGGGAGAGGACAGAAGAGGGCAUAAGACUCCCUAGUGAUGGAGUUACAGGCAGCUGCGAACUGCCUAACGGGUGUCAGAGACUAAAGUUGGAAACUUGGGUCCUCUGAAAGAGAAGCAAGCACGCAGAACUGCUGAGCCAUCUCUUGCACCUCCUUUUCCCCAUUUACAACUAAAUAAAACUCUUCUUGGAGAAUGGCCAGAA